UUCCGGGCGUGGCUUGGGCUGGCGUAAGGUACUUUUUGCUUCCGGUUUCCAAAAUCAUCUUUUGUUUCCGGGUUGCCGGGCAGCUGCCUGGGAAUUUCUUAAAAAGGAGUUGGGGCUUAUUGGGAUAAGAGAGCGCUUCCUUAUUCCUUCUCACUGGAUGUUGCCCCGCUAUCUGUAAAUGGUCCAGCCUCAAAGGAAUGACAACUCCUAUUCCCCUUCCCUCUUCCCUCCUUCCCCCCGGAGUAGAUAUUUACGGAAUCCCCUAAAACCUUGUUGGCUGGUCUCACCUCGGUCUAUUGCUGUUUCCCCUCAAUCCAGUCCUCCCGGGAGCCAAACGCGGAAAAGAAAGGCUUCACAGAAGUCACAGCCAACGGGCUAGAUCAGGAGUGACGGACUCCCGUCCGGGCUGUGUCAGUAAGAGCAGCCAGCAUCUUGGUAACGCUCCCAUCCUUCAUUUCAUAUAUGCCUCACAGCAAUUUGUGAGGUCUGGAAGAAACUGACCAAUCAAAGGAAGAGGCCACAGAAUCAUAGGUAUCUUCCAGAGCAAGAUAGCUGCUAAGUCAUGGUGAAGAAAGACAUCUGAAGAAGAACCCAGAGAAGAAUGAAGAAGUAGAGACUAAAUAAGAUUGUGAAAAUGCUUUGUGAUCAUAAUGCAUCAUGAAAUUGAUGCUGGACUUUUGAAGGCAGUGCAGCCAGAGCAUAAGCCCAGAAACACUUGGAAAGGCUUUGAAUACAGCUCUAAAAAUUGAUUGCAUAGUCUCUUGUCCAAGAGCCAGGCUACCUAAGUUUAAGAGGCUCAUCACUAGGGCAGCUAGGUGGCUCAGUGGAUAGAGAGCCAGGCCUAGAGAUGAGAAGUCCAGGAUUCAAAUAUGGCUUCAGACACUUCCUAGUCGUGUGACUCUAAGCAAGUUACUUGAUCCCAAUUGCCCAGCCCUUGCCAAUAUUCUGCCUCGGUAGUAAUACUUAAUAUCUAUUCUAAGAUAGUAUGGAUUGUUUAAAAAUUAAUAAUUCUAAGAUGAUAUAGGUUUGAAAAAUAAAAAAGCUUAUCACCAUAAGACUAGCUAUUUGAUGAGUAUUCAGCCCCGCAACUCAUAAAGACUGUACAAAGAAAGAGUAAGACAUGAAGGGAUUUUAAUCUGUCUUGUGGAAGGGAUUAGCCACAUUAAUAAAAUCAGAGAUCCUUGAAGUAUUAGAAGUGAAGUAUAAAAAUGAAAAUAUCUCAUUUGUUCCUUAAAAUGACUGUGAGAUAAUUGGUACAAAGAUUUCUAUUCCCAUUUUGCAAAUGAGAAAACAAGCUCAGAGAUUAGGUGGUGUGCCCAAAGUCAAAUAGCUACUAUCACACAGUUAAGACUAAGAAUCCAAUAUUCUGAAUCUUGAAUAUAGUCCUGAGAAUCUGAUGAUUUUCCCACCACUCCCUGGAUAUGCAGAGUUUGAGAAAAGUCUUGAAAACCAAACAUAGGAAUUUGAACUUAGUGUAAUGUGAAAUGAGCCAUUGUGGGUUCUUGAUUAAGGAAAUGAAAUGAUAAAAAAUGUUUUAGCAAAGUCAGCCAGGUAGCAGCACUACAUCUAAUGAACUAGAAAAGAAACAUAACUAUAAUCAAGGAGAGUCUUUGAAAUUCAUUCAGAAGGUGAUGUCAAGGCCUGGACUACACUGAUGGUAGUGUGUGAAGAUUAAGGUCAGCAAAAAAAGAUUUCAAAUGCAGAAUGUGAAAUUGCAUGACAAAGUUUCAGGAAGCCAAAAGAAUAAGUAGUACCAAUAUCAGAAAAAGGAGAAAAUAGAUGUCAAAAGUUCACUUUGGGGCAUGAUAAAUUUGUGGUAAAGGCAAUUGAGAAUAUGAACUCUAGUCUUUGUAAGUCUUCAUAAGUUGCUGAGUGGCUGAAAAUUCAUUAAAUGGAUAAUCUUUAUGAUAAGUCUCUUUGAAUUUGGGUAGGCUGGCUCUCAGACCAAUGACAUGGAAAAUAUAGAUUUGAGAAGCAUUUGCAUAGAAGUAAUAGCUAUAGCCAUGAAACUGGAGGAGCUGCUUUAGCCAAGAGUUCUUCAGCAGAAAUGCCCUCUGUUUUAUUGUCUCCCAAGCACUAUCAAAAAACAUUCUAUGAUCUUAGACAUAAAAUAAAUGUUACAAAUCAAUGAA